GAUGAACGCUGGCGGCGUGCCUAAUACAUGCAAGUCGAGCGAACGGACGAGAAGCUUGCUUCUCUGAUGUUAGCGGCGGACGGGGGAGUAACAUGUGGAUAACCUACCUAUAAGACUGGGAUAACUUCGGGAAACCGGAGCUAAUAACGGAUAAUAUUUUGAACCGCAUGGUUCAAAAGUGAAAGACGGUCUUGCUGUCACUUAUAGAUGGAUCCGCGCUGCAUUAGCUAGUUGGUAAGGUAACGGCUUACCAAGGCAACGAUGCAUAGCCGACCUGAGAGGGUGAUCGGCCACACUGGAACUGAGACACGGUCCAGACUCCUACGGGAGGCAGCAGUAGGGAAUCUUCCGCAAUGGGCGAAAGCCUGACGGAGCAACGCCGCGUGAGUGAUGAAGGUCUUCGGAUCGUAAAACUCUGUUAUUAGGGAAGAACAUAUGUGUAAGUAACUGUGCACAUCUUGACGGUACCUAAUCAGAAAGCCACGGCUAACUACGUG
rnacentral:rRNA from 1 species